GUGCAGCAGUCGAGAAAACUUUACAAUGUGCGAAAGCACGAUAAGGGAACUCUGAGUGCCUCCUAAGGAGGCUGUUCAGGUGUCUAAAAAGCACCUGAAGGAAGGGCUGGGUAAGACCGGUGCCAGCCGCCGCGGUAACACCGGCAGCCCAAGUGGUAGCCACGUUUAUUGGGGUCUAGAGCGUCCGUAGCCGGCUGGGUAAGUUCCUUGGGAAAUUUGGCUGCUUAACAGUCAAGCUUUCAGGGAAUACUGCCCGGCUUGGGACCGGGAGAGGUCAGAGGUACUCCAGGGGUAGGGGUGAAAUCCAUUAAUCCUUGGGGGACCACCGGUAGCGAAGGCGUCUGACCAGACCGGGUCCGACAGUGAGGGACGAAGGCUAGGGGCGCGAACCGGAUUAGAUACCCGGGUAGU
rnacentral:rRNA from 1 species